rnacentral:rRNA from 1 species
CUCCCAGACUCCUACGGGAGGCAGCAGUGGGGAAUAUUGCACAAUGGGGGAAACCCUGAUGCAGCGACGCCGCGUGAGUGAGGAAGUAUUUCGGUAUGUAAAGCUCUAUCAGCAGGGAAGAAAAUGACGGUACCUGACUAAGGAGCCCCGGCUAACUACGUGCCAGCAGCCGCGGUAAUACGUAGGGGGCAAGCGUUAUCCGGAUUUACUGGGUGUAAAGGGAGCGUAGACGGAAUUGCAAGUCUGGAGUGAAAGGCGGGGGCUCAACCCCCGGACUGCUCUGGAAACUGUACGGCUGGAGUGCAGGAGAGGUAAGUGGAAUUCCUAGUGUAGCGGUGAAAUGCGUAGAUAUUAGGAGGAACACCAGUGGCGAAGGCGGCUUACUGGACUGUAACUGACGUUGAGGCUCGAAAGCGUGGGGAGCAAACAGGAUUAGAUACCCUUGUAACC